rnacentral:rRNA from 1 species
GUGGGGAAUCUUGCGCAAUGGGCGAAAGCCUGACGCAGCCAUGCCGCGUGAAUGAUGAAGGUCUUAGGAUUGUAAAAUUCUUUCACCGGGGACGAUAAUGACGGUACCCGGAGAAGAAGCUCCGGCUAACUUCGUGCCAGCAGCCGCGGUAAUACGAAGGGGGCUAGCGUUGCUCGGAAUUACUGGGCGUAAAGGGCGCGUAGGCGGACAGCUUAGUCAGAGGUGAAAGCCCAGGGCUCAACCUUGGAAUUGCCUUUGAUACUGGCUGUCUUGAGUUUGGGAUAGGUGAGUGGAACACCGAGUGUAGAGGUGAAAUUCGUAGAUAUUCGGAAGAACACCGGUGGCGAAGGCGACUCACUGGCCCAAGACUGACGCUGAGGCGCGAAAGCGUGGGGAGCAAACAGGAUUAGAUACCCCUGUAGUCC